CUUCUGUGGGUAUGUAGGUACAACUGAUUAGAUAUGUCUUCUGUGGGUAUGUAGGUACAACUGAUUAGAUAUGUCUUCUGUGGGUAUGUAGGUACAACUGAUUAUAUAUGUCUUCUGUAGGUAUGUGGGUACAACUGAUUAGAUAUGUCUUCUGUGGGUAUGUAGGUACAACUGAUUAUAUAUGUCUUCUGUGAGUAUGUAGGUAUAACUGAUUAUAUAUGUCUUCUGUAGGUAUGUAGGUACAACUGAUUAUAUAUGUCUUCUGUAGGUAUGUAGGUAUAUCUGAUUAGAUAUGUCUUCUGUAGGUAUGUAGGUACAACUGAUUAUAUAUAUCUUCUGUAGGUAUGUAGGUACAACUGAUUAUAUAUGUCUUCUGUAGGUAUGUAGGUAUAUCUGAUUAGAUAUGUCUUCUGUAGGUAUGUAGGUACAACUGAUUAUAUAUGUCUUCUGUGGGUA